rnacentral:rRNA from 1 species
GACGAACGCUGGCGGCGUGCCUAAUACAUGCAAGUCGAGCGGACUGAAUGGGAGCUUGCUCUUGUUCGGUCAGCGGCGGACGGAUGAGUAACACGUGGGCAACCUGCCCGCAAGACCGGGAUAACUCCGGGAAACCGGAGCUAAUACCGGAUAACACCGAAGACCGCAUGGUCUUUGGUUGAAAGGCGGCGCAAGCUGCCACUUGCGGAUGGGCCCGCGGCGCAUUAGCUAGUUGGUGAGGUAACGGCUCACCAAGGCGACGAUGCGUAGCCGGCCUGAGAGGGUGACCGGCCACACUGGGACUGAGACACGGCCCAGACUCCUACGGGAGGCAGCAGUAGGGAAUCUUCCGCAAUGGGCGAAAGCCUGACGGAGCGACGCCGCGUGAGCGAAGAAGGCCUUCGGGUCGUAAAGCUCUGUUGUGAGGGACGAAGGAGCGCCGUUUGAAGAAGGCGGCGCGGUGACGGUACCUCACGAGGAAGCCCCGGCUAACUACGUG